CCUACGGGGGGCAGCAGUGGGGGAUAUUGCACAAUGGGGGGAACCCUGAUGCAGCGACGCCGCGUGGGUGAAGAAGCGCCUCGGCGCGUAAAGCCCUGUCAGCAGGGAAGAAAAUGACGGUACCUGAAGAAGAAGCCCCGGCUAACUACGUGCCAGCAGCCGCGGUAAUACGUAGGGGGCAAGCGUUAUCCGGAUUUACUGGGUGUAAAGGGGGCGCAGACGGCGAUGCAAGCCAGGAGUGAAAGCCCGGGGGCCAACCCCGGGACUGCUCUUGGAACUGCGUGGCUGGAGUGCAGGAGGGGCAGGCGGAAUUCCUGGUGUAGCGGUGAAAUGCGUAGAUAUCAGGAGGAACACCGGUGGCGAAGGCGGCCUGCUGGACUGCAACUGACGUUGAGGCCCGAAAGCGUGGGGAGCAAACAGGAUUAGAUACCCGGGUAGUC
rnacentral:rRNA from 1 species